UACGUAGGGGGCGAGCGUUGUCCGGAUUUAUUGGGCGUAAAGAGCGUGUAGGCGGCCAGGUAGGUCCGUUGUGAAAUCUCGAGGCUCAACUUCGAGCUGUCGGUGGAAAACUGUCUGGCUAGAGUCCGGAAGAGGAGAAUGGAAUUCCUGGUGUAGCGGUGAAAAUGCGCAGAUAUCAGGAAGAACACCCGUGGCGAAGGCGGUUCUCUGGGGACGGUACUGACGCUGAGACGCGAAAAAGCGUGGGGG
rnacentral:rRNA from 1 species